ACACCGGCAGCUCUAGUGGUAGCUGUUUUUAUUGGGCCUAAAGCGUUCGUAGCCGGUUUGGUAAGUCACUGGUGAAAUCCUGUAGCUUAACUAUGGGAAUUGCUGGUGAUACUGUUGAACUUGAGGUCGGGAGAGGUUAGCGGUACUCCCAGGGUAGAGGUGAGAUUCUGUAAUCCUGGGAGGACGACCUGUGGCGAAGGCGGCUAACUGGAACGAACCUGACGGUGAGGGACUAAAGCUAGGGGCGCGAACCGGAUUAGAUACCCGGGUAGUCCUAGCCGUAAACGAUGCGGACUUGAUGUUGGGAUGGCUUUGAGCCGCUCCGGUGCCGAAGGGAAGCUGUUAAGUCCGCCGCCUGGGAAGUACGGUCGCAAGACUGAAACUUAAAGGAAUUGGCGGGG
rnacentral:rRNA from 1 species